rnacentral:tRNA from 1 species
CUUCGUUUCUCUUUCUUCAGAUGAUGAUCCCAAGCCUUCUGGCGAUCUCUUAUAAAGAAAUCCCCCAUAAACUGAAAGGGGUUCUUUAGGGAAAAACUUUCCUCUUUAUAAGAUGAGGCCGGGGAAGGUUUUCCGGUUUAUCCCGGAGGGCUUGUAGCUCAGUUGGUUAGAGCGCGCGCUUGAUAAGCGUGAGGUCGGAGGUUCAAGUCCUCCCAGGCCCACCAAUCACUCUAUCAAUCUAUAAGCGCUUGUGAAACUUGCUCAUAGAAAACUUUCUUUAUUAAUUUGUAAAAGACCUCCUUAUAGAGAAGUGCGCUUCUCCCUUUGGUUUUAAAAUCCAAAGUUAAAAGCAUUAAAGGUAAAGUGGCUUUAAAGGUAAAGUGACAAAGAAUAAAGAUUAAGGAAUAACGGUUUAAGCGAUCCCUUUUAAGUGAUCUUGAAUUUGAGCGUUUCGAAUGCGUUAUGUUGUUUUAGGGGGCCGUAGCUCAGCUGGGAGAGCACCUGCUUUGCAAGCAGGGGGUCGUCGGUUCGAUCCCGUCCGGCUCCACCAUUUGGUCAUCAUCAUUGUUGUGAGAACACUCUUUUGUGAGAGGUUUAUAAACCUUUCACUUGUUCUAUUGAAAUUGUGAAGAGAAG